GGGAGGUUGCUCCUGAAUUUUCUAUGGGAGCGGUGCGUCAGUUCCGCCUGUCCCGGCGCUUCCAAACUUCCUGAUUGUGUGCUUGGAACCUACGGCGACAGGGCGACUUGGGGGGGGAAGAAGCCUGAGCAGAGUCCGCAGCUUGUCUCGGACUCAGGUGGAAGAGCCUGGAGGGCAGAGCAGCCCCUGGUGGGAACCGAAACUAACCCCUCAAGCAGUAAGGACUGUCUUGAGCCAGCAAGACCCCGUUUGUGAUUGACCCCACGAUAGUAACGAAUUUGACCUUCACUGCCCACCUGCAGGACCCACCCGCCUUUGCCUCACGUUUUCCUUCCAUAAACCCGGACGUAUUUUUAGCAAUUUGAAGACAGUCUUUGAGCCGUCAGUCUUUGCGGUCUUUUGGUGUUCGCCUCACUUGAGAUACAUUCCUUUCUUAUACACCUAGACUAGAUUCUCUGCCUUUGGCUUUUGUCAGCAGAGAGGGAUCGAAUCCGGUCUGUUUGGGGACACCCCACCCCUCAAAGCCAGGUGCUCUUGCACCCCCGCCGCCAGCUAUCGCUGAGGAAAUAAAAAAUCUCAAACCAGUUCCUGGCAUAUGGGGAAUGGUGACCUCCUUUUAGUAUUAAUUUCCCAACCGUCUGUCAAGUCCCCCGAUUAGGGUCAGAUAUCCAACUGCGGUGACCUUUGCUCUUCUCUGAUUCCUGCCCAAUACUGGAUCAUUCCGGCCCCUUCUAAUCUCUCAUUUAGAAAGGGGAGGGUACAAUGGAAGUAACGUUGAGUUCCUACCUUGCCUGACUUCUCAGAAAGGGUUGCACAGAGGUGGAAAAAGUGACUCCUUGGCUACUAACAGCAAGGUUCUACCUAUACACCCAGCGUGGGGCCUGAACUCACAACCCCGAGAGCAAGAGUCGCACACGCCAUCAACAGAGCCAGGUGCCCCUGUUGUUCUUGAUGCUCUUAAAGAGUG